GGACUCAGUGAAGUGGUUGGUUCCCGUAUCGAUGGUCUAUACAUAGUAGACAGGACAUCUAAAAGCUGGAACGAAAGUGGCCGUUAAACGUUGAAGUCGAUAGAAUAGUCCACACCAGGACAACACGUUGACGGUGCGGUUAUUCGUUCCUAUUAUGUGUCUAGUUGAAACAAACGAUUAAGAUUUUUAGUUACGUUGUUACGGAGUCAGGUUAUAAGAGCGAACUAUGUUAACGAGAACCUUAUUAUAUAGUUGCUUCUCUUUGAGAGUCUGUAAACUAGAUGUUACCGAAUGGGCCAAGUCGAUAAACGGGUGAAUACGAAGUGUGACUAUCGAGAGAACAACAAAGGGCACGACAGGCUUCCGAGACUGGUCAAGGAGUACUCUACACCACGGUGCUCGUCACGGUCACUAAGGCUACCAGCUUGUACCCUUCCCCUACGAUUGAAACCCGAUCGUGAAGGACCAGAAAGUCGGUUCCGCAGUAUGGAUCUGGGGAGUGAAGGUAGGGCUCAUGGAAUGUACUGACGUGCGUAGAAGUGAAGUUUAAGGUGUAUAUCAGAACCCCAACUGGGACCGGCGUACAAGGAAGCCGAGAUGAAGAUAGGUUGACGAAUACCGCUUGUAAGACGGCAUCUACGGAACAAAUCACAGUGACGUCCCUGGAUAUCGGAAGAUUUACUGAAGUUAGGAAGGGUCUGACGAGUCCGGUACCCAGUAUCAAUGGAGUAGGCACUUAUGAGGAACUUACAAUGAAGUAGAGUUGAAUCACAGUGUAAAAGGGGUAGUGGUGCGGUGUGACCCAGAAUGCGCAAACACUUACCGUAACUUUAACACGUGUGAGGACUGUAAAAGUGCUAUGGUCACGGUUCUAAGCGCUUACCACCCUUGGGUCUAGAUAAGGGCUAAAGGAGAUCGUAUCCGGAACUUUGUUACAUGGCAGAAUUACAACCCCCGCACUGAUAGAGACCCUUUGUACUAAGCCCGAAAAUGGCAAGUACCCUUCUCCUGAGGGAGAUAUAAAUACCUAGACUACCGUACUUAAAAAAGUUUCUGUUGUUGUAGUGUUAGUCAAUGGGCGAAUCGUACGGCCUAAUGUAUCGUGGUUAGCUAUAGAUACUCUGUCUUUCUAGAUACCCCACCUUACGUGCAUUGUUGUACUCCAUGUUAGAAUGUACCUAAAACGGACAGCUACGUCCCAAGAUAAUGGAAAACUCCAAGGUAAAGACACUCUAGGUCAUAGGUUACUGGUUCUAUCCGGUCUCCGUUAAGCAGUAUAUGUAGUUGUUGGUCUGUCGUCACCUCGUCUACCUACAGUAACUAACCUCGCCUCCUUAACCAUAUGGUCAAAUGUGGUUGAUGCAGUAACAGUGUCAACCAGUACCAGUCUGUCUAGAGACCCAUCGUGAGGUGGGACUAGAGUCACAGCCAUGUCUUAUAAUACUACGUUAAGACUUACCAGACCUCCAGAAGUUUGAUGUCCUAUUGUCGUUAUUAUUAGAACGACCACAGUUGGGAUGCGGGUUCGUUUUAGCACUACCCAGUCUUAGAGUACCAGUUCUAUUUUGUUUACGAUCUUAGGGUCGCUAGUAACCUCCACCUCGACGAAGACCACAGAACCGAAACAAGUAAAGGUCAAAGACGUAAAUACAAUACAUGUCCGCCUUCUUUUGAUUGAUGUGAGUACCGUUCUGGUUACCCUUAGGAGGGUUGCCUCUACCUCUUAACGAUAACCGGUGGAGCGUGAGCUUCCUAAACUUCGAGACGGUGUUGAAGAGCAAGUUCGUUUAGGUCCUUCGGUGGUUAUUGAAGCUACUCCGGAAGGAGGAUCCGUUUCCACCCAAACCCUUACAUAUGGUACCAGUCUAUCGACCAUACUUCUUCCACCGUUAGUUCGCACCAUUGGGAGACAGGGUCGUCCCGUAAGUCCUUAAGGCCUUACUUUAGCUUUACAACUGGUUAGAGGCCGUAGCGGUGGAACACAGUGACUAACCAAUGACGCUACUCCUCAGGCUCUACUAGAACAACAUACUAAUGUACCGGUUACCCUGUGAAGUCCUCGUGGACAUGUUGUGAUUGUUUGGUGGUAAUGGUACCCUCGUGGCAGAACACUAUACGUAACCUCGACGUGAUGGACGUGUGGCCACGUUUCUCCCGGUAGUAGGUGGCACUACACUUCUCAUGAUUGUAAGACAACCUACUGUUCACCCACCGUUUCCAAAGGCUGAAACCCAACAGAUUCCGAUCACGUCUGCACCUGUUAUGGGUACACUCGUGCCAAUACUUUCCGUGGAAGCCUAUAGAUCUAGGACUCAUGAAGGCCGCCGUCUCUGAGUGGUUGUUUAGUCUACACAUGAGGAAACCCCAACAAAACAAACUCCAAGACACACGUGCAGGUCAUUAUCUAGGACUGGAAGGGCUCCUCGUUCACCCGAACGCACUCACCCGCGACAGAACGGUCUCUUUUCCACACGAGUGACUCUAGUAGCUGGGGAUAGAAUACCCGUUCUAGUGGGGGGUCACGAAGUCUUUUAAACGUCUCUGACGUCUCGUUACACAACGACUUGCAUCGUAACUAUCCGGUAGAUACCCAGUACAAGACACCUCGGAGGUCUAGCGUGAUGUCGACGUCCUCCUGACGUUAUAGAGACUCCUCGGUGGUAACAACUUGUACAGUAGUGAGUACCGGGGGUCCCACGCUGGUAGAAGUCCAAGUCGUUACUCGUAGAGUCCUGUCUUUCGACAUAAGAGUCUCUAGUACGUAGGUCUACAGGCUAUU
rnacentral:rRNA from 1 species